AAAUUGAGGAGACGUCUGCUACUUUCAUUCCAAAAGACGGGAAUAAUGCCUUUAUUUCGGUAUUACCGUCCAUGGAUUUAUAGAAGGUACACUGCUAGACUGGGUACUGUUUAUGGCGAGACCUCCUGGGACCAGACCCAGCUGAGUAAAGUAAACCAGGAAUACCUCAGCCGUGACUUCUUAUGUUCAGCCAGGCACCCAAUAAGAUUGCAAGAAGCGUGAGUCUCUCCCUAGGACCCUAAGUGGGCUUGCAGAACGCAGUUUGAAAAUAUCUAUCUUAUGAGCAAGAUACAAAUUGCUCUGAAUUUUGUAAUGGAAUAAAAUACGCCUCCUAUUA